rnacentral:rRNA from 1 species
AACGAACGCUGGCGGCAGGCUUAACACAUGCAAGUCGAGCGCCCCGCAAGGGGAGCGGCAGACGGGUGAGUAACGCGUGGGAAUCUACCCAUCUCUACGGAAUAACGCAUGGAAACGUGUGCUAAUACCGUAUACGUCCUUCGGGAGAAAGAUUUAUCGGAGAUGGAUGAGCCCGCGUUGGAUUAGCUAGUUGGUGGGGUAAAGGCCUACCAAGGCGACGAUCCAUAGCUGGUCUGAGAGGAUGAUCAGCCACACUGGGACUGAGACACGGCCCAGACUCCUACGGGAGGCAGCAGUGGGGAAUAUUGGACAAUGGGCGCGAGCCUGAUCCAGCCAUGCCGCGUGAGUGAUGAAGGCCCUAGGGUUGUAAAGCUCUUUCUCCGGUGAAGAUAAUGACGGUAACCGGAGAAGAAGCCCCGGCUAACUUCGUGCCAGCCGCCGCCGUAAAAC